rnacentral:rRNA from 1 species
CGAAGGUUGCAAGCGUUACUCGGAAUUACUAGGCGUAAAGGGCAGGUAGGUGGUUUUGUAAGUCUGUUGUGAAAGCUCCUGGCUUAACUGGGAGAGGUCAAUAGAUACUGCAGAACUUGAGUAUAGGAGAGGUUACUGGAAUUCCCGGUGUAGCGGUGAAAUGCGCAGAGAUCGGGAGGAACACCAAUGGCGAAAGCAGGUAACUGGACUAUUACUGACGCUAAGCUGCGAAAGCUAGGGGAGCAAACAGGAUUAGAUACCCUGGUAGUCCUAGCCGUAAACGAUGCACAUUAGACGUGAGGGGUAUCGACCCCCUUCGUGUCGACGCUAACGCAUUAAAUGUGCCGCCUGGGGAGUACGGCCGCAGGGUUG